UCCUACGGGGGGCUGCAGUGGGGAAUAUUGCACAAUGGGCGAAAGCCUGAUGCAGCAACGCCGCGUGAGGGACGACGGCCUUCGGGUUGUAAACCUCUUUUAGUAGGGAAGAAGCGAAAGUGACGGUACCUGCAGAAAAAGCACCGGCUAACUACGUGCCAGCAGCCGCGGUAAUACGUAGGGUGCAAGCGUUAUCCGGAAUUAUUGGGCGUAAAGAGCUCGUAGGCGGUCUGUCGCGUCUGCUGUGAAAACUGGAGGCUCAACCUCCAGCCUGCAGUGGGUACGGGCAGACUAGAGUGCGGUAGGGGAGAUUGGAAUUCCUGGUGUAGCGGUGGAAUGCGCAGAUAUCAGGAGGAACACCGAUGGCGAAGGCAGAUCUCUGGGCCGUAACUGACGCUGAGGAGCGAAAGCGUGGGGAGCGAACAGGAUUAGAUACCCGUGUAGUCC
rnacentral:rRNA from 1 species